UACGUAGGGAGCAAGCGUUGUCCGGAAUUACUGGGCGUAAAGGGUGCGUAGGCGGCAUAGCAAGUCAGAUGUGAAAUCCCCGGGCUUAACUCGGGGGGUGCAUUUGAAACUGCUAAGCUUGAGUGCAGGAGAGGAAAGCGGAAUUCCUGGUGUAGCGGUGAAAUGCGUAGAUAUUAGGAGGAACACCAGUGGCGAAGGCGGCUUUCUGGACUGCAACUGACGCUGAGGCACGAAAGCGUGGGGAGCAAACAGG
rnacentral:rRNA from 1 species